UCCCUCUUAGCUCAGUGGUAGAGCGUGUCACUCGUAUCUAUUUAUCAAACUGUGCGAUGACAAGGUCAGUCGUUCAAUCCGGCUAGCGGGAA